AUUGAACGCUGGCGGCAGGCCUAACACAUGCAAGUCGAGCGGUAGAGAGAAGCUUGCUUCUCUUGAGAGCGGCGGACGGGUGAGUAAUGCCUAGGAAUCUGCCUGGUAGUGGGGGAUGACGUUCGGAAACGGACGCUAAUACCGCAUACGUCCUACGAGAGAAAGCAGGGGACCUUCGGGCCUUGCGCUAUCAGAUGAGCCUAGGUCGGAUUAGCUAGUUGGAGAGGUAAUGGCUCACCAAGGCGACGAUCCGUAACUGGUCUGAGAGGGUGAUCAGUCACACUGGAACUGAGACACGGUCCAGACUCCUACGGGAGGCAGCAGUGGGGAAUAUUGGACAAUGGGCGAAAGCCUGAUCCAGCCAUGCCGCGUGUGUGAAGAAGGUCUUCGGAUUGUAAAGCACUUUAAGUUGGGAGGAAGGGUUGUAGAUUAAUACUCUGCAAUUUUGACGUUACCGACAGAAUAAGCACCGGCUAACUCUGUGCCAGCCGCCGCCGUAA
rnacentral:rRNA from 1 species